AAACCAGUAAUGAAUUUGAGAAUUUGCUCCCCUUUAUUAAUGAAUAGCAGUAAUAUAUAUACUGCAGAAAAAUAACAACUUCCCUACAAAUAAGGAUGAAAGCAAAACAAAUAAGUAGUGCUAAAUCAACAAAAUCAAAUAACAGAAUCAAAGUAGAAUCAAAUAACAGCUAUUUUAGGCAAGUCAAGCAAGCCGCAGCAGUAACUCAGUCAAGAUAUUUGGAAUUGAUCUUCGGCAACCGACUGGAUCUUCUUGGUCUAUCAUUACCUCCCCCUCGGACAGCAACCUUGUCCUCAAGGUUAAUGGUAGGAAAACGUACUGUGAAGGACUGAGAAUCUUCCCAUGUAGCAUCUUCCUCUUGAAGCUUUUUCCAUUUGACCAGAAGUUGUUCAACAAUUUUGGAUCCUUUUUUAACCCAACGGGUAUCAAGAACAGAUUUAGGUUCCAAGAGCAAUUCGCCAUCAUUAGUCACAGGUGGCAUUUCAUUGCUGGAAAGAGCAGCUUCUCCAAUCUUCUUUUUUAAGAGAGAUACGUGAAAAACUGGAUGAAUGCGAGAACCAGGGGGAAGCUGAAGCUUGUAAGCGACUGGUCCU
rnacentral:lncRNA from 1 species